CAGUCUGUUCAGAAGAUUAAAUGAACAAAUUAGUCCCUUGGUUCAGCAUCCAGAGGAUGCCUUCUGUUAAUACACAGGCACCACUGGGAGAGACAGCAAUGUUGGUGUCCGUCAGGAGUGCCCUCUGCAACCGACACGGCAGCCUAAACAGCUGCUGGUUGUGAGCUGUGCCAGAGUGAACUCUGACAUCCUGCCAUCUCCACACCACUUUAAGAAGGCCUCCUCACUGGACUAUCAGUCAGUGUGCUUGGCCACGGGUCACAUUCUAGGGAUUUGUUCUCUUUCCUACUCAUGGAGACUUUUAAAACCGAAACAAUUUGACCAAGGUAGAUGGUUACUUUAGCAUUAUUUUGUCAUAUGUCCGAGAAGUUUUCACGUCAAGAUCAUUUACAACUGUGGUACAAAAAAAGGGGACAGUAAUGAAGUUGGUUUUUUUUUUUUUCUAAAAAAAAAAAAAAAGGACAGAUAAAUACAAGAAAUUGGUGGUAUAAGACUCCGGUACUCUUUACACCAGAAAAUAGAGUUUACAAAGGGAAUUCAGUUAUCUGUAACCAUGAGAAUGAGAUGGAACACUUUAUAGUGAGCUUAUGGGAAGCUUCUGUAACAACUGAUAAUGAUGACUCCACACGCCUUUCCCUGAACUCUCUGGAGCAUUCAUGCAUUGCUAGCAGGGAUGUUAAUCUGUCCGGUCACUACAGAAAUUGGUAUCAAGGUUCCUCAAAAAUCUACAAAUAGAACAUGAAUCAAAGCUAGCACACACUUAGUGAUUCUCACACACCCAGGUUACAUCCAAGCUAGGUGCCCAUCAAGAGGACAGAAAGAAUGCCAUGUGUACACGAAGGAGCACCAAUCACCAUGGACUUCCAGAGGAGUGCCUGGGACUGAAGUUAAUCUGGUGUGAAAUAAGAUGCUCAGACAGUCCUCACAUGCAGAACCCAGCUUUUUAAAGAGAAGGACAUGAAAGCAGAGGAGGGCUACUGGAGAGAGGAACGAGCGGGAGGAGGCCAGAGUGUAAGUGGGGUUCACAACGACAGACAUCUUAUGUGCACCUGUGAAAGUGUCAUAAUGAAAUGCAUUAUUUGGCCAAAUAAUAUAUGCUAGUAAAAAGACUUUCAAAAACCCCAUCUUCUGCUGGGAAAUGCAGAGGUCUAAAGAGAAACUAGAUAGGAAUUCAGACUUAAUACCUAUCAGUGCAUGCAACAUCUAUGGACUACUCCUGGGUAAACAAAGGUGCAUUUUAUGAUGAUUGCAUUGCAGAGGUGCCUUUAAAAACAACGUCCAACGAAGGAGAGUGCAAGAAUGUUUCCAAGCAGGAAAACGACAUCCACAUUUGAGCCAAUGAUUGACCUUUCCUGAGAGAGGAUUGAUGAGAAGGGAAACAAAGAGCUCUUUUCUUCCAGCCUUGUGAAGAAUGGGGCACAGCACCUGGCCAGGACAGCGGUCACCUCUGUCAGUGAAUGGGUGGCCAUGAGGACAUAUGGGAGCGUCUGUGGUGAUGGUAAAUUUGAUAUACAUGUCUGUGCACUUCAUUUAUGUAAAUUUUACUUUCAAGAAAAAUGCUGACAUAUAUUUAACUCUGCCUAAUGAAAUAUAUGCUGAAAUAUUUGGGACAAAAUAUAUUGAUAGCUACAGUUAAUGUUGAAAUACACCAAAUUUUACAACAAUGAGAGCCGGGCAGUGGUGGCACACACCUUUAAUCCCAACUAGGGAGGCAGACAGGUGGGCGUCUGAGAGCUCAAGGCCAGCCUGGUCUACAGAGCUGGUUCCAGAGCAGCCAAGGCUACACUGAUACCCUGUCUUGAACGGCUGCUGUAAAGGUCUCUCAUCGCUGCUGGACCUUUCAACGUUUUUCACAAUAAGACAAUCAUCUAGUGUAGACGAAGCCCAGUGUCGAGUCCGCUAGGUCCACUCACGGUCCUGCUGCUCCUCGGACUUCUCAUCCCCAGGUGGGACUUACCUGAGUAAUAAAAACUGUGGCACUUUUAUGUGAAACUUAAUUGCUUUCAUUCUGCCUAUCACUUUAAAAAAGUCCAGACUGGCGUGACUCAUAUGGUUACAGGUAACAGGAGAGCAGUUAUUAGAACGGAGUAGGCAGGAAGGAGCCUAAAAGUAAAUGUGAUUUUACUGCAUGACAAAUCUCCCUCAAGUAGCUUACUAUUUAUUGAACACUUCUAAUGAAGUGCUAUUAAAAAAGAUCCAACUUCCUACACACCAUUCAAAAGCACUGUUAACAAACUCAGUUUUGGGGCUAAAUAUGUUUCAGUUUGUCAUGUCUGAUGAGAUGAUUUAGAAUAAUUUUAUUUCAUAUAACUCUAAUUAAAAUCCUGAGCUAUAUACAAGCAGAAGAGACUGAGCAAGGAGUUCAAGUGUUGUGGAGCUCCACAAGGCCAGUUAACAGGUGACCAGCAGGACUGUGGCGGUUUGACUGUAAUUGCCCCCAUAAGCUCAUGGGGGGGGGGGGGGACACAUGGGAGGUGUGGCUUUGUUGGAGAAAGUGUGUCACUGUGGAGGCAGGCUUUAAGAUCUCAUUUAUGCUCAAGCCACACCCAGCAUCUCAGUUCACUUCCUGUUGCCUGCAAGAUGUAAAACUCUCAGCUCUUUCUCCAGCACCAUGUCUGCCUGCAUGCUGCCGUGUUCCCUCCAUGAUGAUAAUGGACUAAACCUCUGAACUGUAAGCCACCCCAUUAAAUGUUUUCCUUUAUAAGA